AAACUGUGUUGGUCUUAGCUCUUUUGUAAUUAAAUCUGGAUGUACCUCAAAAGACUCUAUAAGACUGUGGUGUUAAAAGGCUUUCCUC
rfam:Rattus norvegicus chromosome X, whole genome shotgun sequence.